AAUUCGAUGAUACGCGAGGAACCUUACCUGGGCUCAAAUGUAUGUUGACGUAUUCUGAAAGGGAUACUUCUUCGGACAAUAUACAAGGUGCUGCAUGGUUGUCGUCAGCUCGUGCCGUGAGGUGUCGGGUUAAGUCCCAUAACGAGCGCAACCCUACCUUUAGUUGCCAUCAGGUAAUGCUGGGGACUCUAAAGGAACUGCCUACGCAAGUAGUGAGGAAGGCGGGGAUGACGUCAAAUCAGCACGGCCCUUACGUCCAGGGCUACACACGUGCUACAAUGGCCGAUACAGAGGGCAGCUACCUGGUGACAGGAUGCAAAUCUCCAAAGUCGGUCUCAGUUCGGAUCGGAGUCUGCAACCCGACUCCGUGAAGUUGGAAUCGCUAGUAAUCGCGCAUCAGCCAUGGCGCGGUGAAUACGUUCCCGGGCCUU
rnacentral:rRNA from 1 species